rnacentral:lncRNA from 1 species
CCUCUGGGGCAGGCUGUUCCCGACCUCAGAAAGCUGCACCAGUCAGAGGUGCAUUUCCUAUCCAGUCCACAGAGCUGCUUGUGAAGACAGAGGUGCAGAAAACCACUGGGCAGUGACAGUGACCAGCGGGUGUUGGGAGCCUGCUCGGCCACUCACCAACCAAGCAACUCACCCAUGACGGCUCUGACCCCCCAUAUGCCAGGCCUCCGCAUCACAGAAGUGACAGCUCCUGCUUGUGGUGGGCCUCUGGGAUUGUCUAGGAGGGAUGAUGCUCCCAAGGCAGAACCCACAGCACCCAGGUUUUUCCCUCUGUGAAGGCUUCUAGGGAAGUGGGGCAAAAAUAUCUGUUGUUAUCUUAAGGUCAGGCUGGUUUCUGCUUUGCUAUGACUGCUAGGAAGCUCAGAGCCUAAUUUGCAACUCACCCCUAGCAGCUAUACAGGAUCACUUGGUGUGCAUUUGUGGUUCUCUUUUGAUUCUUGGCUUCAUCUUGAUUUCUUUUCCUCUUAUUUUUUUUUCCACCUCAAUUUCACUCAUAGUGUCUAUCUUGUUAGCCAGUAGUGCCAUAAAGUCUGGGGCUGGGGGUCGGGGGAUUGCUCAGGACCCAGGGGCUGUCUUGGCUUCCAUCUCCCACCGCAAGCCUCUCUGGUGCCGAGUUCAAUUCAAGGACUGGGGAUGCUCAGUGUUUGUAAACAUCCCCUCAGACGGAAACCCAAAUGGUGAAACUGGCUGCUUGCAGAGGUCUUUCCUCAGGGACACGCCCAGAGUCCUGGAGGGCGUUCCUGCUGUCCCUUUGUUCUCUCUCUCUCUAAUGUUUCUACCUUUGUGUGUGUGCAUCACAAAGGUGAGAAGCAGUCAAACUUGGGAAGAAGAAAUGGCUGAAAUGCUACCAUUUACAGCUCAAGCCAUGCUUCCUCGCUGACGUUGGCCGAUGCGUGGUCAGAGUUGGUGCCACCUGCUCGAUUUCACAUGUUGUGGCCAAUGACAUCACCACAAAAUGACCCAAGUGUCGGGAAGCUUAAGGGUGUCCAGGCAUCCACCAGCGGGAAGGGUCGGUGAAGACUGGACAGCCACAUCCACUUCUGAGCAGUGACCCUGUGGCCUUCAGCGGCUGGGCGGGGAGUAGGGAGGAUGGUCCGCCAGCCACGAGCCCCACUGCAGCUUAUCCGGGUCAAGAACACACCACACAAGCACUGCAGGGCCAUGGCUGUUGGAACUACCCCUUGAGUCUGGGCAGAAACUGAGAGCAAGCAUGUAGAUACUUUGCUGUCCCUUGAUGCGGCCAGGGCAUUUUUGCCUGUAUUUUAUGAAAAUAUCAGUCCACAGUGGAUUGG